CCCUGGUGUCCCUCAACCCACUCAGGCGGCCCACCGCCAGAGUGGGUCAAAGUGGCAACCCGCCGCGCAGCUCAGCCCUGGGGGCCCCACCUUGACUCAGGCGGCAGACCGCCAGAGUGGGUCAAAGUGGCAGCCCGCCCUGCUGCUCAGCCCUGGGGCCCCCCCACCACUCAGGCUGCCGACCACCAGAGUGGGUCAAAGUGGCAGCCCGCCGCGCUGCUCAGCCCUGGGGUCCCUCACCCCACUCAGGCGGCCGACAGCCAGAGUGGGUCAAAGUGGCAACCCACCGCGCAGCUCAGCCCAGGGGACACAACCUGACUCAGGUUGCAGACCGCCAGAGUGGGUCAAAGUGGCAGCCUGCCGCGCUGCUCAGCCCUGGGGGACCUCUCCACACUCAGGCGGCCGAGCGCCAGAGUGGGUCAAAGUGGCUGCCCGCCGCGCUGCUCAGCUCUGGGGCCCUCAUCACCCACUCAGGCGGCCUACUGACAGAUUGAGUCAAAGUGGCAGCGUGCCCGCUGUUAACCCCUCGGGGCCCCACCCCAAUUCGGGCGGCCCACCGCCAGAGUUGGUCAAAGCGGCAGCCCGCCGUGCUGCUCAGCCCUGGGGGCCCCUCCCCCACUCAGGCGGCCGACCGUCAGGGUUGGUCAAAGUGACAGCCCGGGGCGUUGCUCAGCCCUGGGGUCCCUCUCCCCACUCAGGCGGCCGACCGCCAGAGUUGGUCAAAGUGGCAGCCCGCCCUGCUGCUCAGCCCUGGGGGCCCUCUCCCCGAGCUCUGGAGGCCCACCGCCAGAGUUGGUCAAAGUGGCAGCCCGCCACGCUGCUCACCCCUGGGGGCCGCACUCCCACUCAGGCGGUCGUCAGCCAGAGUGGGUCAAAGUGCCAGCCCGCCUCGCUGCUCAGCCCUGGCGGCCCGCCCACACCCACUCAGGCUGCCGACCACCAGAGUGGGUCAAAGUGGCAGCCCACCGUGCUGCUCACCCCUGGUGGCCCCCGCCAACUCAGGUGGCCGACCGCCAGAGUGGGUCAAAGUGGCAGCCCGCCGCGCUGCUCAGCACUGGGGGCCCCUCCCCCACUCAGGCGGCCGAAGGUCAGAGUGGGAAAAACUGGCAGCCCGCCGCGCUGCUCUGCCCUGGGGGACCCACGGCCCACUCAGGCGGCCGCCCACCAGAGUGGGUCAAAGUGGCAGUCUGCCGCCCCGCUCAGCCCUGGGGGGGCCCCACUCGGGCGGCGAUGGCGCAAGUGAGUAAAGUAAAAGUGGAGCCCGCGCGCGCUC
rnacentral:lncRNA from 1 species